UCUCCCGCUCCCGCAGCCGUCGCUCCCGCUCCCCGUCGUCGUCCUUCCCCUUCCGCCGUCGCCAUGACCAGGAGCAGGCGAGCAGCGCCUCGUCCAUCCCGCACAGUCGACGUUACAGUCUCCCGAAGCAGCAACGCCUCACGCCGUUGAUGUCGCCGUCGCUGGGAGCAGCGCCGCCUCGGCGUCGCCGGCGCUAGGAGCAGCACCACCUCUCGUCGUCGACACCAGUGCCGCCAUCGCGUGAAGCAACACCGCCGGCGGUCAUUCGCAGGUACACGGCCUCCCCCUCCUUUGGUUCUUCUCUGUCUCCUAUCCAUGGUCUGCAGAAGAAGGAGCGCGGGGAUGCAGAUGCGAGGGCGUUGAGAGUCGCCGGCGACGGUGGUGAGGAGGAGCACGCAUGGGGAAGAGGCACACUGACGCUAGCCAAGUUCCGCCUCCCACCCCUCCAGCAUUCAUCCCCUCCUCUGAUUUCUUUCUCUUCCUAGCCUCCAACCCCUGCCUCCACGUGCUGCUGCUCUCAUUUCCGUCAAGCUCCAACUCCUCCAGCUUGGUGCCAUGGCCACCCAUCGUCCCUCUGCCUCUCCCCGAGCUCGCGUCUCUACCCAUGCCACCACAGAAAAUCGGCGAUGUUGAUUACCAGAUGGGGAAACGGAUGGCUGAUAAGGGGAUCUGCCGUUGGAGAAGGAUUCGGCGAGUUGCGACGGCUGCGGAUCCCGGGCGAGCUCACAGCGGUGGGAGCCGUUGCCGGCGAUGGCGAGCUGGAGUACCGGCGGCAAUGGCCUGUUCACACCAGUAGCAACAGCGAGGUGGCUUCUGGUCCAUGUUUUGGGGCUUGGUUGACGAGAACGCUAUCGUACCGGUGGCAUGGUCAUGCCAUGGUCAUCAAGAAGCUAAGGCUGGAUGGAACUGCCUAGAUUGAUGAGUCUGUUGAUAGGAAGACCUCCAUAGUCCAGUUAUAUGCUUUCAGGGAUGGAAAGCCUAAGUGAGCACGGAGAAAGCUUUUGAAUAACAGGAGUGAUAAGGUACCAACAAAGCAACAUCUUGAUCCCAGUGUUCGAGCAGCAACUGAAUUCCAAUCUUAAGGAUCUUUCAGCAAACCAAUGGCUUCAUAUAUGCCGGAGUCAGCAAAUUACAUGGCACAAUAUACAUCUUUAUCCAAAUCUUUUGCAAAAAAAAGAUAUUCUUUGUCUGGACACAACCUGACAGUGACAAGGAGGAGCACGCGGGAAACAAUGUUGUCGGCGUGCACAGACUGUUCUCCUUGGCAUCGAGGCUACAACACCCUUAGGUAUACCAAAUGCUUUUGUGCUUUCCUGAUACCUUCAUAUAUGGUUGAUGUUUCACUAAGAUGGGAGCACCACAGGUUAGACCAAGAAAUUGAGAUUUGUUUCAGCUUUAGACCAUGUUUUUGGGAGAUGAAUGUUCCCUAAUUUUUGUAGCAGUUAUUUCUGAGAUACUACUUCCAUGCCCUCCAUGCCCGAGUGGUUUCUACACCUUCCAUUCUGAUAUGUUGUUGUGAAAAAAGGCCUUGCCAGUGCUGAUUUGUAGAUUUGCUUCGCGACGCCGAAGUGAGCAAGAAAAGAACGUCUGGUAAAUCUCCUCUCCAUUUCGUUUUUUAUUUCCAUUAAUACUUGAGUUGGCAUUUCUGAUAGUUUUGGUUGCUGUUGGCAGCAACGAGGCGGAUCAUAUUGAGUGGUGUAAGAUCGAUGAUUCUAUGAGAAAUCCUCCGGCUGGCUUCGAAGGUACGAUGCAUCAUUCUGAUUAGUUUAUCUGACAGUGAAGUAUGUGUUUGUGUGUGGUUCUUGUGAUCUUGCAUGAUUUGAAUGUUCAGUGAGCGUGUGAAGUGAGCACCAGAUCAUAUGAUGUUUGAUAAUAAUGGUCUUUUGUUCCUGAUAUAUCAAUUGGUGAAGUUGUAGGAAUAUAUACUAAUGUAGAUGUUUAUUGCUUUGUUAUUUUCAGAAACUGAUGUCAUGUUCACAUGUUAGAACAUGGAUAGGUACCAUGAACGUGCACCAACUCUACAGGCAGAACUGGCCAUCGAUUUUUACUGGCCAUCGAUGGCCCAAAGAAUUUCUUCUGAAUUGGUUAAAAUUCAGGUUGAGCUGGUUGAGCCUCCAAAAUAUGCAGUCGCGGGGGAGAAGCUGACCUUUGCUGGGUACUCUGGGAUUAGAGUCGGAAGAUGAUGAGGAAGCAAUCCUAGACAAAAAACCAUGUUGCACUAGGCAGGUGAUUGCCGUGUUACAAACAUAAUCUAAGUUUGCUUGCCACUAUGAACACCGGAACUCACUCUGUUAGGCUCUUUGACCGUGCAAUGGUGCUUCUUUGGAAACUCCAUAUUAGCAAUGUCACUGGCAUCUUAUCUGAUUGCUGCAAUAUACCUUUCUUUUUAUAGAGUGCCAUGUUGUUUCUAGGAAAAAUCUGAACAUACUCAUUACAGUAUAUAAAGAAAAUGCCUGUUGCAUGGUCUAA